rnacentral:rRNA from 1 species
AGAAUCAACGCUGGCGGCGUGCCUAACACAUGCAAGUCGAACGCGAAAGUGGAGCAAUCCAUUAGUAGAGUGGCAAACGGGUGAGUAACACGUGGGCGACCUACCUCAGAGUGGGGGAUAACCUUCCGAAAGGAGGGCUAAUACCGCAUGACAUCCCGUGUUUGGAUACACGGAGAUCAAAGCCGGGGAUCGCAAGACCUGGCGCUUGGAGAGGGGCCCGCGUCCGAUUAGCUAGUUGUGAGUAACGGCUCACCAAGGCUCCGAUCGGGUAA